UUCAAUGAAAUCGACUGUUUGGGCCAGUUUGGCCCUUUCCCAUUUGUAUAUGCUAGUAGUGGCACGAUCGGUGGGAUCACGAAAGGCGGUAAUAAUCCUGAAACCAACAAAUAAUGACGAAUCGGCAGUAUUGAGGAUCACUCUGGAUCCCUCCUCCUGUCCUGACAUACUCUUCAAGCUUCUGGUCGAGUUCAGCAUAUAUUAGAACGGGCUGUUUUCACGUUUGGAGAGACCUACUUACACCAACGCUGGCGAGGAUGGGUGACAUCAAAUACGCUUAUCCAUAUCCUGCUUCAGGAGUGUAUGAUGGACCGCCGGUGAUGGCGCUGCCUCCGUAUGUUUAUGGGGCUUAUCCACCGCCAAGGACCAAUACCGGGUUCCCAGACGCAUGGUAAACUAAAAAUCGGCCAUGCGAUUUUCUUGAAGUUGUCUAUAUAUUCCUUUAUUUACCUAUCGUCCAGCAGUAUUUGGCGUUUAUAUCUAUCUAUGCAUAUGGCGAUUCCCUCUUUUGUGAGUUUUUGUGUGCGUUGGGGAAUAUAGCCUUGCAGCAUUAUGUUGUUGUUGCCUGCUGGAUACAUGCUGCUGGCAUUUGGACCCCUUCCUCUUCAUGUAGCAGCAAACAAGCACAUAAGCGGUGAACCACAAAGUCCUUUCCUUGGUGGAAGGCCCUUCAGUUUUAUUUCCUUCCCUUUGUCUAGACCUCUUUGUAAAAUAUCCUCCUUUGUAAGAAGUCACUGUGUGCUUUUCUUCUUUGCCAACAAAAGCUGAGUUCCCAAACAAACUCGUGUGAUUUUGGGUAGUAUCAUUAUCCGGUCGCAUCUAUAAGUAGAAAAUAAAACAAGUUAAAUCAAAGUA